rnacentral:lncRNA from 1 species
AAAAUGAAGCCUGUUGCCAAAAUUCUGUGGGAAGUCCACAGCCUGCUCCAAAGAGGGUAGAGAGGAUGUUGUGACAAUGGAGAGAUGACUUGUGGUUCUGUCCAUGGUGGUUUAGUCACCAUAGCCUACACAUCAGAUGAGUGUAGAGAGGACAGUCGACAUACAAAGAAGAGCAUCACCAGGAGGGUGAUGCAAUUUAAACAAAGACCAUUGCAAGCUGAUCAUGGAGUGAUCCAGCCGAAGUAGAGGGAAGAAGAAAGCUACUCAAUAAGCCUCUGGUGUGAGAUGCUUGGAGAGUGAGCAUUGCAAGAGG